UACAGAGGGUGCAAGCGUUGUUCGGAAUUAUUGGGCGUAAAGGGCGCGUAGGCGGUGCGGUAAGUCUGCAGUGAAAUCUCUGGGCUCAACUCAGAGUCUGCUGUGGAAACUGCCGUGCUUGAGUGUGGGAGAGGUGAGUGGAAUUCCCGGUGUAGCGGUGAAAUGCGUAGAUAUCUGGAGGAACACCGGUGGCGAAGGCGGCAUCCUGGACCGGCAUUGACGCUGAGGAGCGAAAGCCAGGGGAGCAAACGGG
rnacentral:rRNA from 1 species